GCUGCCACGCAAGCUGGCUCUGUUUGCGUAAGGGAGAUGAUAGGACACGGUGGUAAAUGGCUCCCAGGGAAUAAAUCUUGCCUGAAAUCGAGCAUCCAAAGAGAGGAAAGGCGUCCCUGGGAGUGAGACUGGAAAGGGCCAGUCCUGCCAACCCCCAGCACUCCAAAAUCAUGGAGCCAGGGCCCCCAAACCCCCUCAGAUUGGUUAAAACAAAUGAGUUUUUAGAAAAUAAUAAACUUGGGGUUCUUUCUCGUUGCCUUCUUGGUUUUGAGACUUUGGGGUUCUCCAAUCACAUGGCUUCAGAAGCUGGGAUUGAAGGAAAGAAAACAAAUAUGGGUGAAGUGAUGCCCAGAAGCAAAAUAGUCUGGAGUUACUGCUUCCAGGGAUGACAUCAGAGAGCACCAGUAUAGCAGGGCCAGAUUUUGCACCACCCAGAUGCAAGGAGGGGAAGAAUUACGCAUUGGAUCAUACAAGAGUUCUUCCUAGAUAGCAAAUUCCCCUUCCUCUUUUUUCAUUAACUGAAAUAUGAACCAAAAAAUCAUCAAAACUUUAGAAUUUCGACUAGAUCCCUUCCUGGUUGAAAAAUGGGUGGUUGAAGGGGAAAUUUUCAUGAAAAUAUUUUGUGAUUUUAUUUUGUCAAAAUUCAAAAUUUUUAUGAAAACUCUAAUUGCAAAAAAAUCCAGCCUAUCUAUGCUGUUGAUUGUGGUGGGCCUCAGAGAUUUCUGUUAAUGACCGUGAUACUCUAAACACACCUGCUUUUGUUUUGGGGCAGAAACACCAUCCUAUAGCUUUACACUAGGUAGAAGAAAAGGAUCCUGCCAAAGACAUAUGCUUUCAGUGAUCAGAAAAUAAUCUUGUCUAUGGAUUCAGGUACAAUCUAUUAGAUCAAAAACUUAACACAUUUAAUUUGGGUUGGGACUGAUUUUUCUCUUUACUUUCCUCCUCUUCCCUCACUACAAUACUCUUCAAAUUUGCCCCAUGAUAAAGACCAGAAUAUCAGCAGGUAGAGGAGUAGUAGUAAAUAGAAGUGUUAUCUCUGAGCUGGCGCCAUAAUAAGUAAGAGAUGAAACAUGCACAUAAUUUUAUCUAUAAUGAUAGUGGAAAAAAUAGAUGUCCCUAAAUGAACGAUAUUUUAGUCUGCAUGGGCCUAAUCUCAUUUCACAGCAGCCAUUGAUUUUAAGUGGGCGUAGCAUCAAAUCCCAUAUGCUCUGUCUUUGUAUGUUUAAAAUUCGUAAUAAAAUAUAAAUGAAAUAAUCUAUUCCUAAAGGCAGAUUUUCAUUCUCCAUCCAUUCUCAUUUUGCUAGAUCUCAAUGUUCUUCUUGAAUGCCUGAGGGACUUUCUGUUUGCCACAGUCCUAAAUUGGCUUGAAUCAUAUUUAUCCAACAGUUAUCUGCAGUAUAUUUCCAAAGGUAAUUUGUGGCCUUUUGCUGGUGCACUUAUUUCUUGUGCUCCGCAGGGUUCCACUUUGGCUCUGCUCUUAUUCAGCAUUCGUAAACUGCCUUUAUGCAGGAUUAUUCAUUGGUAUGAUAUUGGUUUUCAUUUCUAUGCCGACAAGGCACAGAUCUAUGUGUCAACUAUGUGUGCAAUUUCAAACUAUGCUAUUACCAUAUUGACAAGUUGGUGACUAUAAAAGCCUAUAUGAGCAUCAAUUUUCUUUAGUUAAAAUCAAACAAAGCAGAGUUGUUUAUGACUGGCAUUUGAACUUUUAACCCAUCCGUGAAAUUCAGCUUAGGUUCAUUGGUUAAAACCUUGUUUUGGUUUUUGAUUGCAAGCUCUCCUUUAGUGUUGCAUUCAGAAGAUUAAGGCCUCCUAUUACUUGAAAUAAAAGUAUUUUGCUUUGUAUAUUGCUCAUUCAUGCUUUUAUCUUCCCUAGACUAGAUUACAGUAAUGCCUGCCUUGCUGAUCUGCCAAUGAGACUGUUUAUCAUAUUUCAUCUUGUAUACCCAAUUCUGCUUCCAGGGCACUAUAUUGUGCAGAGAAACAAAUACAUUAUACAUCUUGGCAUCGACACACUGGUUAUCUGUUACCCAUGGGAUCUACGUUAGCUAUAAUUGCUGAUGACCUACAAAGUCUUUCAUGAGAGGGCGCUGGUUGUAUCUUGGAUUUUAUAUUAAGAUAGACUAAUUAGGGGUCACAUUCUGCCACCACUGAAGUCAAUGAGAACUUUGCUACUGACUUCAAUGAAAACAGGCUUAUGCCCUAUA